AGAGUUUGAUCCUGGCUCAGGAUGAACGCUGGCGGCGUGCUUAACACAUGCAAGUCGAACGGGAAACUUUUCAUUGAAGCUUCGGCAGAUUUGGUCUGUUUCUAGUGGCGGACGGGUGAGUAACGCGUGGGUAACCUGCCUUAUACAGGGGGAUAACAACCAGAAAUGGUUGCUAAUACCGCAUAAGCGCACAGGACCGCAUGGUCCGGUGUGAAAAACUCCGGUGGUAUAAGAUGGACCCGCGUUGGAUUAGCUAGUUGGCAGGGUAACGGCCUACCAAGGCGACGAUCCAUAGCCGGCCUGAGAGGGUGAACGGCCACAUUGGGACUGAGACACGGCCCAGACUCCUACGGGAGGCAGCAGUGGGGAAUAUUGCACAAUGGGGGAAACCCUGAUGCAGCGACGCCGCGUGAAGGAAGAAGUAUCUCGGUAUGUAAACUUCUAUCAGCAGGGAAGAUAGUGACGGUACCUGACUAAGAAGCCCCGGCUAACUACGUGCCAGCAGCCGCGGU
rnacentral:rRNA from 1 species